rnacentral:lncRNA from 1 species
GGGCUCAUCCUCAUCCCAGUUUUUGUCAUCCUGGCAUGUUCUCCUCUCAGUGCCAUUCAGCACAUAUCCGGGGUCACACUCAUAGUACAACGUGCUCAGAUUUCUGACAUGUCCAAGAACUGUCACCAACAAGCUCAUAACCCUCAUUACAGAAAAACUGAACCUUGGACCCUACUUCAAAGUUUUCUCCUUUCAUGAAGCCAUUCUGGAUCGGGGGAGGUUUUCCACAGUCGAGAGGAACACACAUCAGAG